UGUCUUCUUAUCUCCACAGAUUCCCGCACAUGUUUGUUUAAUAACAGACUUUUUCCCUGGUGGAGAGUUAUUUGCCCUGCUUGAUAAGCAACCUAUGAAAAUGUUCAAAGAAGAAUCUGCAAGGUUCUAUGCAGCUGAGGUUGUCAUUGUUUUGGAAUAUCUUCAUUGCCUAGGAAUAAUAUAUCGAGACUUGAAGCCAGAAAAUAUUCUACUUCAAAAGGAUGGCCACAUCGUAUUAACCGACUUCGAUUUAUCUUCUGACUUCUUGUAAUUCCAGGGUUUUAAAGCAUCCCAUGCCUAACAAGAGAAGAAGAUCUGGGAGUCAACAACCUCCUACGUUUGUUGCAGAACCAUCUACAGAGUCGAAUUCAUUUGUUGAAACCGAAGAAAACAUUGCUCCGGAAAUUAUUACCUGUGUGGGACACAGUAGCACCA